AUUGAACGCUGGCGGCAUGCCUAAUACAUGCAAGUCGAGCGAAUGGAUUAAGAGCUUGCUCUUAUGAAGUUAGCGGCGGACGGGUGAGUAACACGUGGGUAACCUGCCCAUAAGACUGGGAUAACUCCGGGAAACCGGGGCUAAUACCGGAUAACAUUUUGAACCGCAUGGUUCGAAAUUGAAAGACGGCUUCGGCUGCCACUUAUGGAUGGACCCGCGUCGCAUUAGCUAGUUGGUGAGGUAACGGCUCACCAAGGCAACGAUGCGUAGCCGACCUGAGAGUGUGAUCGGUCACACUGGGACUGAGACACGGCCCAGACGCCUACGGGAGGCAGCAGUAGGGAAUCUUCCGCAAUGGACGAAAGUCUGACGGAGCAACGCCGCGUAAGUGAUGAAGGCUUUCGGGUCGUAAAACUCUGUUGUUAGGGAAGAACAAGUGCUAGUUGAAUAAGCUGGCACCUUGACGGUACCUAACCAGAAAGCCACGGCUAACUACGUGCCAGCCGCCGCGGUAA
rnacentral:rRNA from 1 species